UUGGGUUCUGGGGGGAGUAUGGUCC
rnacentral:ncRNA from 2 species